UUUUAGGAUUUUACCAUGGAAGGAGCCAUAUGAGCGGCGUUAUAAAGUGACAGGAGCUGUUAGAUAGAAUAACGCUGGCUGUAUGUAGCAGCUUUACUGCAGUGUCUUGGAUACCAGACUCUGGAGGCCAAAACUGCAGAAUUUUUCUCACAUCUCGGGGGAUGACGAGCUGGUAGCUACAUAGAGAUACCCUUCAAUCCAUCAGCUAGCCCACUGUGGCAGCAGUAUCCAUGGCUCAGUUUUUCACGCUCUUGGGAUAUGAUCUUCUACAGACCCGUUACUUCUGGCUCUGGAGAUGAUUUGGAAGUAGAGACACUGCUGACUCAAAGCUGACUUCUGUGGAAAGCCGUGCGGUGACUCCAGGAAUACGGCUGUCCGUACCACAUCCUCUCUCUGGGGUGGUUCUGCCAGCUGGCUCGUGGAGUGGUGCCAAGCUCGUGAUGCUGACCACAACCUGCAACGCAAUUGGCCCUUUCAGCCAGCGUGAAGUUCCCUGCAGAUCUGGAUGGAAGUGUCCUUCCAUGAGGAUGCUCACGCUAGUUAAGUAGUGCGUUCAUUAAGUUCAGCUGGUUGAGGGGAAAAGGGAAAAAAAAAAGCAGAUGGUAGCAGUUCACAUGUGAAGGGUACUCUUUGAUAUAUAUUUUCUACUGUAAAAUUUCUAUUUAAUCUAUUUACAACAUUAAGCUACCUAUAUGGGACUGCGUUCUGUGAUAAAAGGGGGUUUCUGCUGAGCUCCCGAAAUAUGACUGACAUCUUGUUUGCUUUGGGCAAACAACAGUUCCUUUGACAAAGGGAUUCAUGUUAUGAUUGUCAGAAUAAAGCUCUCUGAAGUGAUUCUGACUCUCAGAUGUUACUUACAGGUGGAGGGAAUUGAAACAGAACAUCUAAAACUGAUAUUAUUAUUAUUACAUAUACAAACAUGUGUUGCACAGGAAUAUUAAUGUUUAACUUCUGAGGUGGUCAGGCGUGUGCUUAUGGAAGAGAUUCCGCAAUACAGGGCUUUCUCCUGCUGUUUCUCGCUUGCCUUAGAAAUUCCAUAACUGAUUGUAAGAUUGCACAGCUUUGCCUCAGCGUAGGAGAGGAAUUGUCAUUGUGGAAAGUCACAAAUGCAAGCUCACACUUUGCUCAAGUCAACAGAAGUCAGAGGAAUAAACAGUGCGUGUUAGGUGGACUGUUUUCGUAUGGUGUUCCUUGCAGUAGCUCUUACCGCGGGAAGGAAGUAAUGUCGCCUGUGGCUGGAACCCACAUUUGAGUGACUUUCUAGUGCCAGCGAAAGGGUUGGUGGAGGUACCAAGAAACUCCACGGUGCCUUCAUUACGUCAAUAGCUAUUGUGCAACUUCAUUUAGCUUCGCCCAGAGGAAUUGAAUUUUUAUUUUGAGUACUCUGAGGAGUGUCCUAGGGGAUUUUGCCUAUAGAAAGAGGCAAGAGAAAAAGCCAAUUAAAGAUGUGAAGUUUAAAAUGGAGCGAUGCAUUUUUGGCUCAGAUUGCUUAUAAAUUAAGUGGAAUUUGGGGGCCAGUCAAUCUUUAUGCUCUGCAGCUCUGCACUGUGGGGUUAGAGACUGUUUAAUUUCCAUCCUUUUCAUUCAUUCUUCAGCUAGGUAGAGUGAGGACCGUGCCCCCCGAGAGCACAGCUAACCUUCAGGGAAGAGCAGAGUUAAGAAGUGACACAGAAGAGUCAACGAUCCCUGUGUGAAAGCUGCAGGGGUUACUUAUUUACUUAACAGGAUUGCUUCUCCCCGUAAUCUAGAAGGUCCUGGUUUCAUUACCUUCGUACUUUCUGCCUGUAAUGACAGCAGAGCCCAGCAGAGACUCCUGGGACAGGACCAAAUGAGCUCUCAUAUGUGCAAAAAGCAGUCAGUUUUAACUUGAACCGACUGUCAAUAGUCUGCACACAACUCUGAUGAGCCCUGUGUAUAGGAUCACCUAAAAAAAGGCACUGGGUUAUGCUUUCGGCAAAAUAACCCCAAGUAC